GUAUAAAGGCAUCAAAGGGAGGGUAUUGAUAGGGAACCACCCCCCCCUUGACCCUACCUUACCCAAGGCCCCAGGCUUUUUGCUGAGAAUAGAGUAAGAGUAGGCCCAAAAGCCUUUAGCUAGGAGCAACAGUUUUAACUUCUGCUAAACUUGUUCUUCUGUACAAAGGGCAUGCCGAGGCAGAAAGAUGUGGUCAGGGCCCCAAAAAGAGGAACUAGCAUUGGAUAAAGGGGAACCUGGAGAUCUGUUAAGUUACAACAGCUGAGCCUGCUGUCGGGCCUAUAGAAAAGGUGCUAGAACGGUCAAACCGCAGACUUGACUGGCAAAGACAAUAACAGGAAAAGCCAUAGAGGGAAAAUUGGGGUUUU